rnacentral:rRNA from 1 species
CGUGCCAGCAGCCGCGGUAAUACGGAGGAUGCAAGCGUUAUCCGGAUUCAUUGGAUUAAAGGGUGCGCAGGCUGUAAAGCAAGUCAGUGGUGAAAGCCCUGGGCUUAACUCAGGGAUUGCCAUUGAAACUGUUUUACUAGAGUGUAGUAGAGGACGGCGGAAUGAGUUGUGUAGCGGUGAAAUGCAUAGAUAUAACUCAGAACACCUAUUGCGUAGGCAGCUGUCUAUACUACAACUGACGCUGAGGCACGAAAGCGUGGGGAGCGAACAGGAUUAGAUACCCUGGUAGUCCACGCUGUAAACGAUGAUCACUCGUUGUUGGCUACUUAGUAGUCAGUGACCAAGGGAAACCGAUAAGUGAUCCACCUGGGGAGUACGUCGGCAACGAUGAAACUCAAAGGAAUUGACGGGGGCCCGCACAAGCGGAGGAACAUGUGGUUUAAUUCGAUGAUACGCGAGGAACCUUACCUGGGCUUAAAUGCUGGCUGCAUUGGAGGGAAACCUUCAUUUCCUACGGGACCGCCAGCAAGGUGCUGCAUGGUUGUCGUCAGCUCGUGCCGUGAGGUGUCGGGUUAAGUCCCAUAACGAGCGCAACCCCUAUCGCUAGUUGCCAGCAUGUAAUGGUGGGGACUCUAGCGAGACUGCCGGUGUAAACCGGAGGAAGGUGGGGAUGACGUCAAAUCAGCACGGCCCUUACGUCCAGGGCUACACACGUGUUACAAUGGCCGGUACAAAGAGCAGCCACCUGGCGACAGGGCGCUAAUCUCUAAAACCGGUCNUCAGUUCGGAUCGAAGUCUGCAAUUCGACUUCGUGAAGGUGGAUUCGCU